rnacentral:rRNA from 1 species
CAUGCAGUCGAGGGGCAGCAUCAUCAAAGCUUGCUUUGAUGGAUGGCGACCGGCGCACGGGUGAGUAACACGUAUCCAACCUGCCGACAACACUGGGAUAGCCUUUCGAAAGAAAGAUUAAUACCGGAUGGCAUAAUUAUUCCGCAUGGGAUAAUUAUUAAAGAAUUUCGGUUGUCGAUGGGGAUGCGUUCCAUUAGGCAGUUGGCGGGGUAACGGCCCACCAAACCUACGAUGGAUAGGGGUUCUGAGAGGAAGGUCCCCCACAUUGGAACUGAGACACGGUCCAAACUCCUACGGGAGGCAGCAGUGAGGAAUAUUGGUCAAUGGACGAGAGUCUGAACCAGCCAAGUAGCGUGAAGGAUGACUGCCCUAUGGGUUGUAAACUUCUUUUAUACGGGAAUAAAGUGAGCCACGUGUGGCUUUUUGUAUGUACCGUAUGAAUAAGGAUCGGCUAACUCCGUGCCAGCAGCCGCGGUAAUACGGAGGAUCCGAGCGUUAUCCGGAUUUAUUGGGUUUAAAGGGAGCGUAGGCGGGUUGUUAAGUCAGUUGUGAAAGUUUGCGGCUCACCGUAAAAUUGCAGUUGAUACUGGCGACCUUGA